rnacentral:misc_RNA from 1 species
GAUGAAGAACGUAGCGAAAUGCGAUAAGUAAUGUGAAUUGCAGAAUUCAGUGAAUCAUCGAAUCUUUGAACGCACAUUGCGCCCCCUGGUAUUCCGGGGGGCAUGCCUGUUCGAGCGUCAUUUCACCACUCAAGCCUCGCUUGGUAUUGGGCAACGCGGUCCGCCGCGUGCCUCAAAUCGACCGGCUGGGUCUUCUGUCCCCUAAGCGUUGUGGAAACUAUUCGCUAAAGGGUGCUCGGGAGGCUACGCCGUAAAACAAACCCAUUUCUAAGGUUGACCUCGGAUCAGGUAGGGAUACCCGCUGAACUUGAGCAUAUCAAUAAGCGGAGGA